AAGAAGAAGAUCCACACUUCCGGGUGGUGAUGACGUCGCGUCGUGACGUCAUAUUUCAAAAUGGCAGAGCCCGCGGAAAGACCCCCUGGAGUCGACUCCAUUUCCCAAGAAAAGAUGUCAACAGCGCGACUUGUAACAAUUAUAAGGCCGAGGAGGGUUAUUUGAACACACACCAUUCAAUUAUUAUAAAUGAAAGUCACGUUUUUUAACCGCUCCGGUCUCGUCCCAGCGGAAGUGACGCUAGCACGUCAUCAGAAUACAACAGAUCAACACGACGAGAGAGACAUUCUGCCGCUAGACGAAGGUCACCGAGCAGCGACGAAGUUUGCAUUUUCGGUAGAAAUGGCAACAGCAGAGGAUGGAUGUCCCAUAACAAGAAGGUGGAGAAAAAGAAGAAGCUUAUCGACUACGGUGUCGGCACGGACUACAAAGGCGGAC